rnacentral:rRNA from 1 species
CUGCCGGACCCGACUGCUAUCGGAUUGGGACUAAGCCAUGCGAGUCGAACGUCCUCCGACUGUGGAGGGCGUGGCACACGGCUCAGUAACACGUAGUUAAUCUACCCUGAGGAUGCGAAUAACCCCGGGAAACUGGGACUAAUACGCGAUAUCUGAAGAUUCCUGGAAUGGGUCUUCGUUGAAAAGGGCGGACGAGCAUGUUCGUUCGUUUGCCUCAGGAUGGGACUGCGGCCGAUCAGGUUGUUGGUGGGGUAAUGGCCCACCAAGCCUAUAACCGGUACGGGCUUUGAGAGAAGGAGCCCGGAGAUGUACACUGAGAAAAGGGUCCAGGUCCUACGGGGCGCAGCAGGCGCGAAACCUUCGCAAUGCGCGAAAGCGCGACGAGGCUAAUCCGAGUGCCGUCCGCUGAGGACGGCUUUUCUUGAGUCUAGAUAGCUUGGGGAAUAAGGGGAGGGAAAGUCUGGUGUCAGCCGCCGCGGUAAUACCAGCUCUCCGAGUGGUGGGGAUGAUUAUUGGGCCUAAAGCAUCCGUAGCUGGCCAAGUUAGUCCCUUGUUAAACCCACCGAAUUAAUCGUUGGCGUGCGGGGGAUACUGCUCGGCUAGGGGACGAGAGAGGCAGACGGUAUUCUCGGGGUAGGGGUGAAAUCCUAUAAUCCCGAGAAGACCACCAGUGGCGAAGGCUGUCUGCUAGAACGCGCCCGACGGUGAGGGAUGAAAGCUGGGGGAGCGAACCGGAUUAGAUACCCGGGUAGUCCCAGCUGUAAACGAUGCAGGCUAGGUGUUUGGACGGCCACGUGCCGUUCUAGUGCCGCAGGGAAGCUGUUAAGCCUGCCGCCUGGGGAGUACGGUCGCAAGAUUGAAACUUAAAAGGAAUUGGCGGGGGGAGCACCACAAGGGGGUGAAGCU